rnacentral:lncRNA from 1 species
UUGAAUAAAAUAUUAUUUUAAUAUAAUUAUUUUUAGUUAUUACAAUUUUGUGCAAACUUUAAAUACCACAUAUAUAGUUAUGGUUUAAAGUAUAUCAAUUUAGUAUCCUAUAGUUUCAUUUUUUUUCUUUUUAUUAUUCAUUCCACUAAUUUUUUUCGUUACGUUAGUAACAAAGUUAAAACUAAAGAUUGCUAAAGUGAAUACUUGAUAAAUCUGAGUGGGGUAUUUGAAGUUUUUUAUAUAUAAUUUAACGAAAUAUUAACGAAGGAGCCGACGAAAAAUGAAAAAUGAAACUACAGGAUACCAAUUUGAUAUAUUUUAAACUCAAAAUAUUAAAAUGAAAAAGUACGAACAAUGUGGAUGGUAUUUGAAGUUUAUUGUACAAAUUUUAAUAUUAGAUAGAAAUAGAAGCAUGUAAUUAAAGUGUUUU